ACAGAAAGGACCUGGUCUUAAAACAAGUAAAAAAGGCAAGGAAAGGGGAAGGUUUAUCAUGCUAUUAAAAAUGUUAUAGCUCUAACGCCUUUUGAAGACACGUCUUGUAUCCACAAAAGAGGUUUUGUUCCUUGGAUUAGCUUGAUUUUUACCAGAAAAAGCCACUAACUAGAAGAUCUCGAACACCAGAAAUUUCAGGAAAAUUACCUGUGAUUAUUUGAGGGGAAGGGUCAGACUUUACCCUCAGAGCCAUUGUUAAUGUCCUCACCCCAGAGUUCUGGGAAUAUUUCGCAUCAGAAGGCUGAAAAUCCAAGGUGGACAGCUACGGAGGCUUACCAUCAAUGAACCACAGCAAGAGAAGAGCCUGGAGCAGCUUGAGAGCCCCUAUGGUGACUGAACAUCAAUGUCAGCUUUUUAACUGGUUGCUGGUUUUUAGCUUGAACUAAUUUCUCAUGCUUCAGUCCCUUUCCCCUACCACCUUAAGGAGGACAGCUGCA